GAUGAACGCUAGCGGGAGGCUUAACACAUGCAAGUCGAGGGGCAGCAUAGGGUAGCAAUACUCUGAUGGCGACCGGCGCACGGGUGAGUAACGCGUAUGCAACCUACCCUGUACUGGGGGAUAACCCGGAGAAAUUCGGACUAAUACCCCAUAAAGAUAUCGGAAGGCAUCUUCUGAUAUUUAAAGUUCCGACGGUACGGGAUGGGCAUGCGUAACAUUAGCUAGUUGGCAGGGUAACGGCCUACCAAGGCUGCGAUGUUUAGGGGUCCUGAGAGGGUGAUCCCCCCACACUGGUACUGAGACAAGGACCAGACUCCUACGGGAGGCAGCAGUGAGGAAUAUUGGUCAAUGGGCGCAAGCCUGAACCAGCCAUCCCGCGUGAAGGAAGAAGGCGCUAUGCGUUGUAAACUUCUUUUCCAGGGGAAUAAAAUUCUGUACGUGUACGGAAUUGAAGGUACCCAGGGAAUAAGCAUCGGCUAACUCCGUGCCAGCCGCCGCGGUAACAC
rnacentral:rRNA from 1 species